AAUAAAAUAAAAUAAAAUACUUACGAUAAGGUGCGUAUUUCGUUUAUGCAAAUCUAUACCGGAAACGUUUUUAUUUUUUAUCGUUAUGACGCUGUUAGUCUCGAGCGUGUGUUUUGAGCAUGUUCAUGUUAUCAGAGAAAAGUCAUGUUAUCAUAGAAAAAGAGAGAGAGAAAGAGAGAGAGAAAAGAGAGAAUAUAGGACUUGAUAGGAGGCGUCGACAAUAAUCCUUCUCUGUCUAUGGUGGUUUUACCUAUCUCUAGUCGAGUUAAUAGGAGGCCGUCUGCUUUUGCGUCACUACGGCUUAGUUCUGCUUAGGAAGCAUCCUCCUCAUCCUCCACCUCACCUUCUCAUCCUACUUGCUAUUGCUACCUGGAUUAAGGAAGAUCUCAGUAAUGCGAUACAUUCGCCUGAUAGUUUCACCGUGAAACCGACCGUAUUUGCAUCUCUCUCAUUUUUUGUUUCCUACAUUUCUUUCUUUCUUUCUUCUUUCUUUCUUUCUUCUUUCUUUCUUUCUUCUUAUCUUCUCGUUAGAAAAUUUCGGCUUUCUCGUUGAGAUUAUUUUCUUCAGGAUGCGAACAAUUUGUUCAUCCGAUUAGUUGGGUCGAUCGAUUUCAUUUCAUCUCUAUUUAUAUUAUACAUAUUUCCUAGAUAUUUGUGUAUUUUGUUAUUUUAGGAAUUUAUAUUUUAUUAUUAUAGGUAUCGUGUGUUUUUUUAAUAAGAUUUAUUAAUAAGAUUUAUACGUAGUAUCGAUAAGUUUCUUUGAAAUUUACUCUGUUCGUCAGAAUAUGUUCGUAGAAUAGUUUGGAGCAUUCCGUGUAAAGUUCGUUGGGUUUUAAAUGAAAUAAAAGAAAAUAAUUAGAGGAAAAUCGAAAAGAAAAAAAAAUGUUCUUAAAACAUUAAAUCAUUUGAUCCAUUUGGUUAUUUUGCCUUCGUUGAAUUCUAAGUUUAUUAGAUAGAGGCAAUGAAAACUCAUCAUUUGUGAUAACGGCUUUAUUAAGCUUCCUCGUAUACCUACACGGGGGAAGUUCGUUCCGCCAUUAUUUCUGAGAGUUAACCGUACACCUUUUCAUCGAAACUGAACUUCUAAUAUCGUGUUUACUUACGGUAGACUUAUAAACCUGAAAAAAACUUCAUAAAAACUUAAAGCAACCCAAGAACCAAACUUCAGCGAUCUUUUAAUAAAUUCGAAACUUUCCUAUUGCAUUUCCUUCGAACGUUUUUAUCGUGCGAAGAAAAUUUUUUCGUUUUACAUAUGUAACUUCAUGCAAUUUUUAAAACGACGAAGUCGUUUUAUUUAAGAUUUGAACGAAGUAGUUAUAUGUGUUCGAUCGUUCUCGAUUAAAAUAGAACACCUUUGAAAAAUCCGAUCAAUCAAGUAUUCACAACGUCGAAAAAUAUUUAUCGAAUCGGAAUUAACGACGAAUAUUUUUUUUCUGAUUUAAUCUUGCUAACUGCUAAUUCGCAUCAAUUUUUAAUAUAAUGACAAAGGAACGAGGAUGAGCGCACUCGCGGCAGCUUUCAGAACCUACGGAUAAGCGGAUCUAUAAGGGGAGCGGAAGAGGGCGAUCGAGUGGAAAACCAAUAAUCGUUCUGUAUACUAUCUAUAAACGUUUACAUACGCUCAUAUAUGUCUACGUAUGCACGUGCACUUACGUACUCAUGUAAUAUGGACAAUAUGGUAAUUUGUAAAAACAUUUCGAUGUGACAUCGAUAUGGAUAUACGUAUCACAUUUUUGUAAUAUUUAUAUCAGGGUGAUCAGUAUUAUAUUUUCUAUUGUAACAUUCUGUUGAAUUGUUAACAAUGCGUUCCUGUGAUAUUUUCGCUGAAAAAAAUUGGUAUCUAUCGAAUUGUGGUACAAUUUCCAAUUCGACGAAAUUUCCGAAUAUAUUGAUUUGACCGAAACGAGAGUUUCCGAUACAGUUCAUCAUUGUUUAUGAUAGGACGAUAGUGUUAUGGGAUAUAAUGUUAUAGCAGCUGUUAAUAUCAAAACAUCUAUCUAGCAUCUUACGUAUCAGGUAUACACAUAGUUUGUAUUUAUCUUUGACUCACGGCCUUGACAAGCUCAAUAGCUUAUCAGUCAUCUUAGUGGUUAGACGUAAUUCUCAAAUACAUGUCUAUGUUUAUCGAUCGUACAACUUAUGGAACACGAUUACGGAUUUAUUUUUCUCAUUAGCCGUUUAAAUAACUUUGUUCAAUGUUGAAGAAGAUUCAUAUACCUAUCGCUCGAAUGCCAGACGUGCUACCGAAGAAUUACUUCAAUAUUAAGAGAAGACAUUGCGUCGUAAAUUUUACGAUUUAUAAUCCUCGGAACUUUAUCGAGAAAUUGCAUUCCGUGAAUGGCGCUGUUGAUCGAAAAAGAACAAAAAGAAAAACGGACUGUCUGUCAUUAUUAUAAAUUACUAAAAUGAGAUCGAGAAAGUUGGAGACACGAAAUAAAAACCUAUAGUUUAUGCAUAUGUAAGUUAAAUCCUUGGGACAGCAUAAUUUCGUAAUAACCAUCUCACAACGGCUUCUAACUCGAAUGCGAUGCACUUAAGGUCGAUCAACGGAAAUCGGAAAUCGAUCUGCGUUCGUUGGUGAGUUAACGAUAUAUUUAAAUUAUUGCUUGGAGUUUAAGCGAAGCAACUGCUAUCAGUCGAGUUACCAGGCUAAUGCAAUUUACAAGUGCGUAAUGGUUACGCCACCGAACUGCUGUAACAAACUACAUCAUCAAUUACGACGUCGACCCUUAACUAUAGACUUUGCGAGUCUCGAAUUCCCCGACGACGACGACAACGUCUAAGAUGUAACCAUCGCGGAAAUGUUUUAUUAUUAAACCGUUCCUUCUUGCUAUCGCAAAUCUUAUUAUUCUGUCUCGAAUAACGUUUCAUUAAAAUCAUAUUUCUCGUUUGGUACGAAGUACACGUACAUAUGUAAAGAUUAUACAGUACUAUAUUAUUAUUACAUGUAUGUAUACGCAUAUGUAUCGUAUUAUUCCUUACAUUACUUCCCUUACCUUACUUAUACUUUUAUUCCUACAUACUACAUAAUAAAACAUGUGUUAUAUUUUAUUUAUAUCACGUAUGGA